rnacentral:lncRNA from 1 species
AAAAGGUCUUUCACUUCUGUUUUCUUGCCUCUUGAGUGUCUUGUUGCAGGACUAGGAAAGCAUCACCAUAAUAAUGCCUUGCUAUAGGGAAACUCUUCUCUAGUGAUUUAAGUUGUUCCUGGGCAUUUGUGGAAUCUAGAUAUCCUUACAUAAAUCAGGAUGUGAUCUUUGAGUAAAAUAAAUAAAUCUAUGGGGGAAAGGGGAGGUGGGGAAGUGGAAGGAAGUAGUGACUAAUAUGUUUAUAUUUUGGGGAUCAUUAUAAUAAGUGUAAUGUAAUUAUUCCAGUUUUACAGAUGGAGGAACUGAGGCUAAGAAAACUACAUGUCUUGUGAGGUGACAUAAGUGUUUAGUGACAGAAUUGCUCUUUCCUGCUCCUGCCAUUUCUGGUCGUUUUUCCCUGUUCUGUCGAAUCCCAAGUGCCCCUGAAUGCAGCCCAUUGGUUUUGGGAUGUGGAGAGCCAUAUGUGCAGCCCCACUUCUCUAAGGUAAGUUGCUGUACCAAGGUUAAAGCGUACAGCACCCAUGUGGCAAAGAGCUUCUGUAGCCACAGCUUUAGGUGGCACUUGAGUACAUUAGGAAGCAGGAAGGCCUGUGAGCUACAAAGGGCUCUGUCUGCGAGGAUGAUGCCGUGAUGUCUGGCAGCGUUCACCAGCCAUGCAGUGAGGUCACUUCUAAAAGUAUCGCGUUGCAGCGCCGAGCUUCCUGGCGUGAUGGCAGGCAGCUCUCGUGAACCUCGGCCGCUCCUCAGCAGCCAUGGUUAUUCUUAGAGACACUUCCCAUUCCUCAGGAAAAGCUACUGUGAGAGGCUUAGCUGGCUUUUAUCUUUAGAAGCGAGUAUUUAAAUGUUGGACUAAUUUGUAGCUCAUUCGCAGCUCAGCUGCAGCCCUGCCAGCUGCGCUGGGAUCAGUGACAAGUCUUUCUUCCGCCUCCAAAGCGCACUUGCAGACAGAUCCAGGGCCUAGGAGCACAUUGCCCCAGAGGCAACUCGGCUUUCUCACAAGCGUGUAGCUGCCUGGGGGAGUUUUCCAGAACAAGUAGCAUAUUAGGCUUUCC